rnacentral:lncRNA from 10 species
CAGCACUGGAUUCUCAUAGGAGCUGGAACCCUAUUGUGAACUGAGCACGUGAGGGAUCCAGGUUGUGUGCUCCUUAUGAGAAUCUAAUGCCUGAUGAUCUAUCACUGUCUCCCAUCCUCCCCAUAUGGGACCAUCCAGUUGCAAGAAAAUAAGCUCAGGGCUCCCACUGAUUCAACAUUAUGGAGACCUCUGCCACAUCUAGUUUUUCAAAAUUUAAUUAAAUAUUAAAUGCUUGCAAAAGAAGAGAUCACAUGAACAGAGUAUAAAAACUGGACACCCUACUACCCACACCCAGUUUAAGAUACAGAUUACAACCAACACCGUUAAAGCCCUUUUGCAUGCCCUUCUCCAUCCCAGCCCCCUCCUAAAUUUUGUUUAUAAUGAUCUCGCUUUUCUUCAUAAUUUUACCUCCAAAAUAUGCAUCUGUAAACAAUAUGCUGUUUUUGCAAGCUUUUGAACAUUAU